rnacentral:lncRNA from 1 species
AUGGGAUCUCAUGGAGGGAGGUCCUGCAGAGUGGCUCAUCCCAACCCCUCUGUGAUGUCCCAUCACAGAAAUUCAGGUUUGGGUGGUGGCAGAGCAGGGAAAGGUCCCACUCUCCCCAUGACAGACAGGAGGAGGCUUUCCCUGGGCUCUGAGCCGUGGUUCCAGGGUGGUUCCAGGUGGACUCUGGGGAUUGGAGAUGGCUGGGUCAGAGGGAAGGGAUGGGAGAUCAUGAAAUCACAGAAUCACCAAUGUUGGAAGAGACCCUCGGGAUCAUCCAGUCCAGCCCAGCAGCACCACGAAAGGGACCUUGGGAGGGCCAGAACAGGAGCUCCAGGAUCUCCCCCCUUGCCUGGCCUUGGCAUUUCCAUGCCCGUCUGGCCAGGCAGGCUCCGCUGCUGCCAAUGUGCUGAUGCGGGAGCUUUGCAGCGCCGAGAUUUGCCUCCUGUGCAAAACCCAGCGAAAGUGGGCUGGGGCUGGAGCCGCGGCGUUCCCAGCCCAGGGCAGGGACGCGGGAGGAUCAGAGGGAUCGCAGCUCGGGAGGCUCCGGGGACGCGCCCACAGCGGCUCCCGAAGCUGCCCCGGGGCCGGGCGGAGCCGCCCCAGCGCCUUUCCCAGCCGGGUGAGGAAAAACGAGAAUCCUCGCUGAAAACAGGGAUGUGCACCUGGAUUUUCAGGGAUACCCCUACAGGGGUGGGAUUCAGGGAUGCUCCCCCAUACAGUCUCUUGACACUCGGAGCUGAGCACGUCGGGCAGCAGGGAGAGGUGAGAGGAGGGAGCUGGGUGGGAUCUGGACGUGAUCCAGGACUCCCUGUCAAAACAUCCCCACCCCAUUCCUGGCAUGGUUGGGAUGGUUGGUAAAAACCUCCCAGUUCAGAGUAAAACACACAAGAAUUGGCACAAAGAGACUGUUAAAGGGGCCCAGCUCCCACAAAUUCCACAGGGAUUCAUCUCAUUUGUGCUGGAGCUGGAAUUCUGGAUUUAAGCUGGCAGGGAAGGCAACUCUGUCAAUGCCUCCUUCAGUACACCUGUAUUAGUCCCAGAAUCCCAGGAUGGUUUGGGUGGAA